rnacentral:rRNA from 1 species
AGGUGCUGCAUGGCUGUCGUCAGCUCGUGCCGUGAGGUGUCGGGUUAAGUCCCAUAACGAGCGCAACCCCUAUUGUUAGUUGCUAACAGGUCAAGCUGAGGACUCUAGCGAGACUGCCACCGUAAGGUGAGAGGAAGGUGGGGAUGACGUCAAGUCAGCACGGCCCUUACGUCCAGGGCUACACACGUGUUACAAUGGUCGGUACAGAGAGCAGCUACUUGGUGACAAGAUGCGAAUCUUUUAAAGCCGGUCUUAGUUCGGAUCGAAGUCUGCAACUCGACUUCGUGAAGUUGGAUUCGCUAGUAAUCGCAUAUCAGCCACGAUGCGGUGAAUACGUUCCCGGGCCUUGUACACACCGCCCGUCAAGCCAUGGAAGCUGGGGGUACCUGAAGUCCGUAACCGUAAGGAUCGGCCUAGGGUAAAACUGGUAACUGGGGCUAAGUCGUAACAAGGUA